UGAUUAUAAACUAAUGUAUAAUUUACCAGAGUACUAUGAACACACAGUUUAAAACUCAAAGGGCUUGGCGGUGCUUUAGACUAUUCAGGGGAACCUGUCUCGUAAUCGAUAGUCCACGAUACACCUAACCUUUUUUAGUUAUCAGUAUGUAUACCGUCGUCGUCAGGUAACUUUUAAAAAUAAAGAAGUUAGCGAUAAAAAUUAUGAUAAUUUUGUACGUCAGAUCAAGGUGCAGCUUAUAGAAAGGUGAGGAUGGGUUACAAUUAAGAUUCAUAAUAACGGAAAAAAGCUUGAUACAGCCUUUAAUG
rnacentral:rRNA from 1 species